AUUGAACGCUGGCGGCAGGCCUAACACAUGCAAGUCGAGCGAGAGGCGGACGGGUGAGUAAGGUCUGGGAAACUGCCUGACGGAGGGGGCUAACUACUGGAAACGGUAGAUAAUAGCGCAUACCACCAUAUGUGCCCCGAUGGGAUUAUCUAGUAGGUGUGGUAAUGGCUCACCUAGGCGACGAUCCCUAGCUGGACUGAGAGGAUGACCGGCCACACUGGAACUGAGACACGGUCCAGACUCCUACGGGAGGCAGCAGUGGGGAAUAUUGCACAAUGGGCGAAAGCCUGAUGCAGCCACGCCGCGUGUGUGAAGAAGGCUUUCGGGUCGUAAAGUACUGUUGUCGGGGAGGCGUUACCCGCAGAAGAAGCACCGGCUAACUACGUGCCAGCAGCCGCGGUAAUAC
rnacentral:rRNA from 1 species